UUAGUUGCACAAAUUCAUUUCUGCUUUGGGGAGAGCAAUUUCUAUUGCUCAGAAAUUUUAGCUAUAAGUUUCUACCGGAGACCUGAAUAUUUGUACACUAUUUUUUAUCUUAGAAAAAACAAGGAGAAGAAGGUAAUGGGUUAUAUAUGUGAAUAUUGUGGGGAGCAACGAUCAAUUGUCUAUUCCCGGUCUGAUUCAGCUUGCUUGUGCUUGUCGUGUGAUCGAAAUAUCCAUUCUGCAAAUGCCCUGUCACAACGUCAUUCCAGAACACUUAUAUGUGAAAGAUGUAAUUCCCAACCAGCUAUUUUCAGAUGUAUCGAGGAGAGGGUCUCUCUAUGCCAGAAUUGUGAUUGGAUGGCUCAUGCUAGUUCUAGUACAUGUUCAACACAUAAGAGACAAGCACUUAGUUGUUAUACAGGGUGUCCUUCUGCGGUGGAGCUUUCUACUAUCUGGUCAUUUCUUCUAGGUGACCCUUCAGUUCGUGAUUCGACUUGUGAGCAAGGGAUGAGUUCAAUGAGCAUAACUGAUUGCCAACCUGGGGAUAGCCAACAUCCUCAAGUAAAGGAAAAAUCUUAAGACAUGUCUUCUGCACUUGAUGAAGCAAACAAUUUGCAUAAUUUAGUCAAGUCUGCCCCUUUUAUGGGAUCGUCUAUGCCUAGUCUUGAUAACGAGAUUCACAGUGUUGAACUUCUUGUUGGAUCCACAAAUUUAACUUGGUCUAAGGUGAGAAAUUCUGGCACAAAAGGCUACGAUGAUCCUUUUUAUGAUGAUUUCAAUAUGGAUGAAGUGGACUUAAGUAUUGAAAAUUAUGAAGAGCUAUUUGGUGUUUCUAUUGAUAGUCGUGAUCGACUGUUUAAGAAUGAAGACAUUGAUGACUUCUUUGGGACAAAGGACAUGUUAACUGCUGAGUCUAGCUUCCAGGGUGUCAAUGAUGUCGAGGGGUCAGCAGUGGGAAAGGUAAACACGGUGAAGUCAGCUUGUAGCAAUGCAGCAUCGACAAAAUCAAUGAUGAGUUGCAAGACAGAACCUCCUACCUUUUGCUUUGCAAUGCAACAAUCCAGUUUCUCAUUUUCAAACCUCACGGGAGAGAGCAAUGCUGGAGAUUAUCAAGACUGUGGAGCCUUCUCAAUGCUUAGCAUGGGAGAGCCAUCCUGGCGUCCGCCAUGUCCUGAAAGUUCAAUACCAUCAACUAGCAGGAGUGAUGUUGUAUUGCGCUACAAGGAAAAGAAGAAGACACGUCAAUUUGACAAACGAGUGAGAUAUGUUUCUCGCAAGGCAAGAGCAGAAGUAAGAAGACGUGAAAUGACGAUUUGUCAAGGAUGGUGAUGCUUAUGACUAUGAUCCACUGCACCAAACCAGAAGCUAUUGAGCGUAAAACAUUUCCUCGUACACAUUAGGAGAGAAGCAAUCCGUUUAAUAGAGACAAUUGGUUGAGGUUUCAAGCAAAUGAAUGGUAUCUAUUGUUGCAGUGACAAAGAGUAGGUUGUUUCUCAGUGAAUACAAUGUCUCCAAUCAUUUAAAGCUUGAUCUAGAACGCAGAGUGACAAAUAGAUGUGCCCUCCUUAUGUCAAUCAAAUUAAGAGUGCUGCAGAGAAAGAACUUGGUCAUCUGUAGACAACACGAUGGGCGUUCUCUCCAGAAAUCAAUCAACAUUUGCUUUCUCAAUUGUAUUUAUGUUGCAUAUCGACAACACUGGGUUUCGUCUAGCUUGCUUCUGGUGUUACACAACUCUUACUAGGUGGAUUUAACACUAUUUAAGUCCCCAUACAAAUUCACCUGCCCUUACUGUUAUGUAUAUUAUAGGCAGUGUUUACAAGUUAAGAAAUAAAAUGAGCAACACAUUCUAAGUAUUUAUCUGUCCUUUAUGUUUAAGGAUUGAGAUUCCUUGUCUACUAUGUAUAUUAUGGCCACUUUGUACAGAUGACAGAUGCACCUUAGUUUGUAAUUUUUUCAUUUAUUGUCCUAUAAAAUGUGUUAAGCAUA